rnacentral:rRNA from 1 species
UACGGAGGGUGCGAGCGUUGUCCGGAAUUACUGGGCGUAAAGGGCGCGUAGGCGGCCUUCUAAGUCGAACGUGAAAUCCCCGGGCUCAACCCGGGAACUGCGUCCGAUACUGGGAGGCUUGAAUCCGGGAGAGGGAUGUGGAAUUCCAGGUGUAGCGGUGAAAUGCGUAGAUAUCAGGAGGAACACCGGUGGCGAAGGCGGGUCUCUGGGCCGAUACUGACGCUGAGGAGCGAAAGCGUGGGGAGCGAACAGG